rnacentral:lncRNA from 1 species
CCAAUGAAAGGCUAGAACUCCUGUUACAAAAGCGUAAAGAGCUUCAGGAAAAUCAAGAUGAAAUAGAAAAUAUGAUGAAUGCAAUAUUUAAAGGAGUGUUUGUACAUAGAUACAGGGAUGCAAUAGCUGAAAUCAGAGCUAUAUGCAUUGAAGAGAUUGGCAUUUGGAUGAAGAUGUAUAGUGAUGCCUUCCUUAAUGACAGCUAUUUAAAAUAUGUUGGUUGGACUAUGCAUGAUAAGCAAGGUGAGGUAAGACUCAAGUGUCUUACUGCUUUACAAGGGCUUUACUAUAACAAAGAGCUUAACUCCAAACUGGAACUGUUUACCAGUCGGUUCAAGGAUAGAAUUGUGUCUAUGACCCUUGACAAAGAAUAUGAUGUUGCAGUACAAGCAAUAAAGUUACUCACUCUUGUUUUACAG